GAAUCCCACAGGCCGUAAACCCAAGGUUUCCAGGGGAAGGUUCGUCCGCCCUGGGUUAGUCGGGACCUAAGCUGCGGCCGAAAGGCGUAGGUGAUGGACAACAGGUUGAUAUUCCUGUACUACCGAUAACCGUUUGAGAGAAGGGAUGACACAGUAGGAUAAGCUAAGCACACUGUUGGUUAUGUGUGCCCAAGCAUUGAGGCAGUCAAAGUAGGUAAAUCCGCUUUGAUAAUGCUGGGAUGUGAUGGGGAGCGAAAUUUAGUAGCGAAGUAGCUGAUUUCACACUGUCAAGAAAAG
rnacentral:rRNA from 1 species